rnacentral:rRNA from 1 species
GACAGAGGCCUCAAGCGUUAGGCGGAAUCACUGGGCUUAAAGCGUGUGUAGGCGGAUCGUUAAGUGUCUUGUGAAAUCCCACGGCUCACCCGUGGAACUGCUGGGCAUACUGGCGAUCUUGGGCCAACUAGGGGCAACUGGAACAAGCGGUGGAGCGGUGAAAUGCGUAGAUAUCUGGAGGAACACCGGUGGCGAAGGCGGCAUCCUGGACCGGCAUUGACGCUGAGGCGCGAAAGCGUGGGGAGCGAACAGG